UGCCUCAGCCUUCUGAGAGCUGGGAUUACAGGCACGUGCCACCACACCCAGCUAUUUAAAGCUUUUUAAAUGUCCCUCAGUUAAGUGUUAAAUUUUUUGCCAUGCUGAUUUUGCACAUCUUUGACUCUUUUGACACUUUAUUUUUUAGCUAUUUCUUUAUCUGCUGUUAUAAAUGGGCGCUUUCUCACUGAGUUCCUCAGUCUGGGGCCCAAAGUUUUUAAGACGUCCAUAGCUGGGCACCAGGGCUUCUGUGAGCUUUCUGAAACUGCAUUUUGAGGAGGAGGAGUUCGGUACUUCUGUCAGAUUCCCAGAUAACACCUGCCCACAGUACCAAGUGCUCCUGCUGUGGCUGUGGCUCCCAAGCACUUCGCAGGACUGGCCUCACCCUGAGAAACACAGCAGCCACACUCCCCACUUUAUACUGAGAGAGGGUAAGUGCUUCAUUCAGAUCGCACAGCUAAGAAAUCCACAGCCAGCAUCCAACACAGGUGGACCUGAGAGCUACGCCCUUGACCUGUGUACUCUGUGACCUCCAAGAAGUCGAGGGGCCCUGUCCGCAGCCUGCAAGUGGCCUCUCCAGGCCCCCCGCCGGCUCUACUGUAAAAGGGGAAGUUGCAUUCAUCACACCUGGAGUGUCCACAGCUGCGUGCAGCUGAGAGCUGCCUCAGGAGACCGCACAGAGGAGAGAAAGAAUCCACUCGCUAGGGCGAGGAGGAGAAGCAGAGGAGGAAGAGGAUUCUGACGACACCCCCACCCCAGCGCUGUGUCCUCCCCGCUCGCUCCUGCCUCCUUCCGACCUGCUCAGACCCACUUACGGGGGAUUACAACUGGAGGUUACACACCCCCAUUUGUCCACAAACAGGGCUUCAACAAGACAAUGGGUCCUCAGGUAUCUGUCUAGAAGACCCUUUUCCAGAUGCCUGUUGCCCCUUCCACCUCCAAACACCCAGGCCUCUUUCCUGUCCUCUCACUACCCACUGUGGGGAGGGGAGAUGGGUGCAUCCCCUGGGAGGAGGAGGAGGCCUGGAGUUCGGUCACAAUUCGCUCCUGUCUCCAAGUCUAAAACACUGGACACAUCCCACAUAUGAUAGUCAACUGAGGGUGUCAAGUUGAAUGGAACCGCCCAACUAAGGUGGAUCAGCAUCGUUCUGGGCGUGGCUGAGGGGAUUUACUAGGCGUGACUGACAGCAACCAUUGGGCGUGCCGCCUGCACAGAAGGAAGGCUCACUUCCGUUUCCUCAGAGGAGCUCAGGCUUCACCUUCACCUUGGACAUGGUCGCCUGGCUUCCAGCACAGAGUCCUCAGCCUCCUGAUGCGGACUUGCGUAGGACCCUACAUGGAGCGCCGCGCCUUCAGCAGGAUCCUUGGGGUAUUCAGUACGCAGACAGUCCUCCACACUGGGCGGUGAGGAUGCAGCAAACAGCUGUGUUCGAAGAGAGAGCCCUCGAGGAAUCUACUGGCACCUUGAACAUCAUGGCCUUUCCGGCCCCUAGAACCAUGAGCGGUAGACUGUUGGUUAUGCAUGGUCCAGACCAAAGUAUUCUGGUUCAGCAACCCAAGCGGACUAGACAAGGAAGGAUAUGGAAACGGGUGGAACCCAGCUGCCACCACGGGACGCUGUCAGUCCCCAUGCCACCGGUCAGCCCUGCCGCAUGCAUCUUGGGCUCGACCUAACCUGAAGAUGCUCUUCCAAGUGUCCAAGGCUUCCAAAACGCCAGGAGCAUCAGAGUCAAGAAUCUACUUUCUUCCUGAUCAGGCUAGACUGAGAAAGGAGGGGCCUUCUACCAUCCCCAGCUACCGGCACAGAUGCUGCCGAACAGCACUCCCCACCCCAACAACAACCCAAACUCAGUCAAGGCCUGGUGGCCAAUGCUCUGGGAGGUUGCAGGCAGGAGGAUUGCAAGUUGGAGCUCAGCCUGCACAACCGAGCGGCUCAGUGAGAACUUGUAUCAAAAGAUGAAAAAAGAAAAGGCUGAAGAUGUGGCUCAGUGCAAAGGCCCUGGGUUCUACCCCAGUACCGGAGGUAGGGGAAAAGCAAGACUCUGGCCCAGAGGCUACCUGCCCGCUGCUGGAAGCACCACCUGGCCCACUGUCUCACAGCGCAUGAGCAGAACUCGGGAUUGCUCGGCACCGCUAAAUCCUGGGCUAAGCAGAUACACAGGACAAAACACCCAGACACCCCACCCCCAAAUGCACUACGUCUUAAAGCAGUGAUUCUGCCCAGCUCA